rnacentral:misc_RNA from 1 species
AAGUCGUAACAAGGUCUCCGUAGGUGAACCUGCGGAGGGAUCAUUACCGAGCGAGGGCCCCCGGCCCGACCUCCUACCCCAUGUGACCUCACUAUGUUGCCUCGGGGCGACCCGGCCUUCGGGCUGUUUGCCCCCGGCGGACACCUCAACUCUGCAUCUUGCGUCGAGUCUUAUGAUAAAUCAAUCAAA